rnacentral:tRNA from 1 species
CCAUCGGUGGUUCAGUGGUAGAAUGCUCGCCUGCCACGGAGGCGGCCCGAGUUCGAUUCCCGGCCGAUGUA